UACAGAGGGUGCAAGCGUUGCUCGGAAUCAUUGGGCGUAAAGGGCAGGUAGGUGGUCUCAUUUGUCUGGGGUGAAAGCCCAGGGCUUAACCCUGGAAGUGCCCCGGAAACGGUGAGACUGGAGUCUUGGAGAGGGUCGUGGAAUUCCCGGUGUAGCGGUGAAAUGCGUAGAGAUCGGGAGGAACACCAGUGGCGAAAGCGCUCUACUGGGCCAUGACUGACACUGAGGGACGAAAGCUAGGGGAGCGAAAGGG
rnacentral:rRNA from 1 species